rnacentral:rRNA from 1 species
AGGACGAACGCUGGCGGCGUGCUUAACACAUGCAAGUCGAGCGGACAUCUUCGGAUGUUAGCGGCGAACGGGUGAGUAACACGUGGGCAACCUGCCCCUAGCUCUGGGAUAACUCCGGGAAACCGGGGCUAAUACUGGAUAUGACCGAUCCAUGCAUGUGGGUCGGUGGAAAGUUUUUCGGCUAGGGAUGGGCCCGCGGCCUAUCAGCUUGUUGGUGGGGUGAUGGCCUACCAAGGCGACGACGGGUA